GCGACCCCAGAGCAGGUCGGUGUACAUGAUACCAAGGAACACACUGGACAGGUGAAGUUUGUACAGGGUUUGAACCAACGCAACGUUUUAUGUC